UACAGAGGGUGCAAGCGUUAAUCGGAUUUACUGGGCGUAAAGCGUGUGUAGGUGGUCGUGCAAGUCGGUUGUGAAAUCCCUGGGCUUAACCUGGGAACUGCUUCCGAUACUGCUUGACUCGAAUUCGGUGAGAGGGAGGCGGAACUCCAAGGUGUAGCGGUGAAAUGCGUAGAUAUCUGGAAGAACACCGGUGGCGAAGGCGGCAUCCUGGACCAAUACUGACACUGAGGAGCGAAAGCCAGGGGAGCAAACGGG
rnacentral:rRNA from 1 species